GAGCAGGACCAAGAGCGCUCUGCACAGUCAGCAGUGGAGGACAGUGAUCAGAUCUUUACUGAGCUGAUCCGCUCCAUUGAGAGAAGGAGUUCUGAAGUGAAGGAGCUGAUCAGAGCCCAAGAGAAGGCUCAAGUGAGUCAAGCUGAAGGACUCCUGGAGCAACUGAAGCAGGAGAUAGCUGAGCUGAGGAAGAGAAGCACUGAGCUGGAGCAGCUCUCACACACAGAGGAUCACAUCCAUUUCCUCCAGAGUUAUCAGUCUCUCUCUCUCCAGAGUUAUCAGUCUCUCU